rnacentral:misc_RNA from 1 species
AAACAAAUGAAUAUGAUCAUCCAUUGUAUGAUUUAUGGUCAAAUCAAUUACAAUUAUCCAUAAAAGACUGAACAAUUACUGACGAUCAAAUCGAAAUUUAAUAACUCUGACCCUUCUCCCCAACAACUCUCCAUAACCUCACAUCCACAUUCAUAUUCAAAUUGCAAACAAUCAAUUAUCAUCACCUUCAAUGGCUGCUCAGGGAUAUGCUAUAUCUGUACACACGAAUUGCAGCUGCAAAUUCGGCUCCGAGGCAAUCGAAAUAUCCAAGCUCAACAAUGUGAGGCCAUACAAUGCUAUGAUUUACUCUUGCCAACUAAAGUCGGGGUCACCGAAACAAUUCCAAUAAGAAACAAUGUAGCGAUCGAGUUGAAGUCGUAAAGGUCACCAACCGAUCGCAAUUCUCCAAGCGCUAAUCCAGCCCUGACUGUAACGUAGGCAGCCGG